CGAACGCCAGAGAGAAGGAGAACAGCACCUGAGCUCCAGCGUCCAGCCACGUCGUGGGGUUUAUCAGCUCAUUCACCUGGAAACAGGUGAGAAGCAGCAGUGUGCAUGAUGAGUGUGUGUGUGUCACCUCCUCCGUGGCUCUGGCACAGGUACGGGAACCUCCAGACGUUGCCCAGCCCCACACAGAAGCCCACACAGGUCAGCAUGUACUGGGUCUUGUUGUCCCACUGCGGGCGUUCUCCAGCCUCCUCCAGCUCCAGCUUCUCCAGCUCGGCGUGAGAGGGAAUCCGCUCAUCCAGACCCGGGUUCGGGAGCUUCAGCCGCAGACGCAUCCUCACACUGCAGGGGUGGCGAUAGUGUGUGUGUGUGUGUGUGAUGGUGAAGCGCUCUCGGAGACGAGGACGAGAGAAGAGAUGCAGUGAUGACAGGAGAUGCCCAUAAAUACUGCAGCGACUUAAGACGUGGUGAUCUUUAGCACUGACACCCCUCCCACACACACACACGCGCGGUUGUGGGAUCAAGGUUUGACAUUCUUAUAUCUGUUCAUUCUUGCAUUUUUUAAA